rnacentral:lncRNA from 10 species
GGAGAAUAACCGGAUGGGUGCAAUCGGAGGUGCUAUUUCAGGAGCUGGCCAUUCUUCAAGUCAGAAGGCCUGAGAGAGGAGCUGCCCAGGUGGUCUUCAUGGGGCUGUGCGGCCAGUCAUCCCCCACAGGUUGACAAUCCUUGCGUACUUCAUCCUUGUUGGAUCCUCUGUAUCCCUGACGAUGAGCAACUGUGAGGCCCGUUUCAGCACUGAGUUCCAGUCAGGAAAACAUCCACCCACCCACCACACGCUCACACUUACACACACAUUCACACAUGCACACAC